UCUAAUCAAUUUUUUUUUUUUUUUGGCUGGAAACUGUGAGUAGUUUCCUGUUUUUCGAGAUGUAACGUGCAAGAAGAAUGAUGGAAAAACCAGAAAUCAUUUAAUCAUUUGGGUGAAAAAAAAGAUUAAAUGGAUUUCUCAUGGAUUUCUGAAAAAACAGCAAGAAUUGCCUUCAGAUGGGGCACAACACAUGCUUGUGUACUUGAAUCAUUGCCUGACCACGUAACAUGGUCAUUCUAUUGAAUCAACGCUGUGAGAACACAUCAUGAUGCCAUAGGCAGCCCCCCAAACGUAAGCAAAACAGUGAUACUACACACAGAAAUGGAAGAACCUAACCCUUUUACAAGAGUUGUACAAUUCUCUGUGUGCUACUUCAAGUCAUGGUCACAUAAUUAUUUUUUAAAGAACCGUUCUACCAAAUAAGAAGUUGCUAACAUGGAGAUCAUCAUUCUAUUUGCUUUUCUACUGUCUGUAGAGGUGAGUAAUUAUCAGUAGUGAUUGUUUGUCUGAAGAUUGUGUAUAUAUAUAUAA
rnacentral:lncRNA from 1 species